GAAGUCCCUGUCACAUCCCUCAGCAGGGCAGAGAAAACAAAAAAGCUUCCCUCCGUCUCUCUCCCUCUCAGGGCUGCCCCCAAGAACAGCUAAGCUUGGGUUGUCUCUUAGAUUGUGCUUCUGUGCUCCAUCCCAAGAUGGAAUACACAGCCUGAGCACCUAGAAGUUUUCCAAUUGCAGACUCACAGCAGCCCCCAAAGCUCCACCCUUCGUGUUAGGCUCUUGUGGUCCUGGAGAAUUCCUGCUGCCAGUCCAAGCCCAGGCUGAGGCUCAGAUCCCCUUUCCUGUGACCUUCCUCUUCACCUCCAGGCAAACCUCUCUAUGCCCCUCCCUUCACACAUGGCUUAUUUUGAGGCCCCCAGAGGCUGUAAGAAGUGGGCUCCCUCUACAAGGUACCUCAGUUCCUCUGAAGAAAGGAAGCAAGCACACACGGAUGGCAAGGGUGGCGUUUUCAAGGGCGGUGAUGAAUGGAAAUUUCCCGACAUUUCAAGCAACAGCGUCUGAACGGAACUGGAAUUUUCCUAAAGCACAGACAGGAGAUCUCUGUCACAAGUUAUUGAUCUGGUGUGCACGCCUUGCAUUUAAUCCGGUGAUUAAUUUGGAGGGAGGCCGCAUGCAUGCUGGGCUUUCAUUUAGAGAGUUUAAAAGCAGGCAGCUUCUGAUUUAUUUUGUCUUUAUUCACGGAGGGCGAUUGGAUUGGAAGGAGUUGAAUGAUAGGCUUCCGGCAGGCUGUAAAGACAGGUAAAAUUUAAAUAAGAAAUAUCAGAUCUUUUAAGGCACUCUAUUUAUCUUUUGUACUUUAUUAGUCACACCUAUUGAAGGCUUGUUGGCCCUCUGGGAACAGUUCAGAAAAGGAAACUAUUCAGCAUGUUAAGUUUGCCAAUCUGCCUGCUUUUUAUUAUCUUCUUUUAGAGGGAGUAAACAAAGGUCCCCAUAUAGGAAGGGACUCGCCUAAUCAAAGUAUAAGUUAGCACUGAAAUUAAUUCAUUAUUUUAGGACCACCAAUACCACAGGUGUGGGUAGAGUUCCAAAUAUGUUCCAAGUAUUUUAAUAGCAACUUGGCAACUAAUGUAAGCCUUCCCACACUCAUCUCUGAUAGAUGACUUCCUCUUGCCUUAAGAAUAAACAUUAGGAGCUAGCCUUCACUAACCUAGCAAAUCCUACCUUUUGUUAUUUCCCCCUUGAACUUACCUCCAUUCUUCUGGAACAACUUUAUCUUUCCUGAAAUAGGAUCUAUGUGUCUCUUACUCCUGUACUGACACAGAUUCUGACUACCUGCCUAGAAGCUUCCUGGGAAGUAGGAACCAGAACCUCAGUUUAUAGUUCAUUUACUUGAGAGGCUUGCUUCUUUGGGUUAAUGCCCAUUGCAGCAUAGUCUCUGACCCAUAGAAUUUCAGUUUCUCGAAUGCAGCUUCCCUAUCACUGGCCUGAGAUUCUCUUUAAACUUUGGAAUAGAAAUGACUCUGCUUGUUUCAGAAAGUUGCCAUAGUUCUCUUCAAAAAAGUUUCCCUCCCUCCUCAAACUAAGAGUCUCCAUUUUAAUGCCUUAGUGGGCUGGGAAUCUUCAUGUAGUAGUGUAUGGAUCUAGGAAACCAAAGUGACUACAUGGACACUCCAGAGACAACGUGUACAAGAAUAGCAUCUUGGCUCUUCUUAAAGUCCUGCAGGCUUGGCUGAGAACAGUAUCUUAGGGUUCAUAUUGUGUUGUAUAUCAAAUAAGCCCAGACUGUUAACAACAGAAAAAACUGUUCCCGGUGUAAGUAUACUUUAUUCCUGUCUGAGUGAGUUGCUAUGUCAAGCCUUGAAGAGGAAAAAGCUCUUCACUGGACUUUCUUGGCCUUUAGACUACAGUAGCAAGGCAGCAGAAUUACAGCCACAGAGAAAAAGAGCAUCUGUAAAGAACUUGAGGCCAGCUACACAUCUUGAAGUCCCUUGGAGGACAAGGCCACACCGUUGACACAUGGCCACAAGCCUGGUCUUCAGGGUCUUACACCUGGGGCUGUGUUUGGCUCUGCAUUCUUCUGGACCAUUGAGAGCUGAGCAGGAACAUGUCUCCCCAUAUGAAUGCUGUGAAGAUAGUAUGGAAUGAAUUGUGUUGACAUGACUGGAAGUUAAUAGAAUGACUGGCCAAACCAGUCAUCAAACACUGUUUAGUAACUAUGAGAACCAGGAUUGUCCUCAGCAUGGUCAAGUGGCCAUGCCUCUCCAGUGCUUAUAGGAUGGGUACAAACCCUGUAGGGAAUGUGGCCUCAGAACUAUGGGCUAAGCUCUGUAAACACAGGAACUGGUGAAUCUUGUUUUUGUUGUACCUCCAGAUGAUCCCCUGCGUACAGUGGAAAUGGAAUAAAUGCUUUCUGGUUAGAUAAAAUUGCAAGAAAGACAGGCAUAAUAUGCAGGAUGUUUGGAUGCUAGGAUUGUUAAGAGGCUUAAAACUACAUUGUACAAGGAACAUUGUGGGGAAUAAGGCUCCAUUAUUAGACGGGGAGGACUGGGGCACAGAGGGCUUCUGAAAGGUGGUUUUAUCAGCAAAGCAGAACCGAGGCUGAGAGAGAUAAUUAAGCAACAGAUUCACCAUUAAGUAGGUGGGGUUGGUGGAUAUACAGAUCAACAUAUUUUUAUUAAAGGAAAAAUGAAAUGUAUAACAAUUAUCCUAUUCAAUUGUGGGACCAGGUAAAGCAAACUCCAAGUCCACAGGGCAGGUAACCAGGAAGGGAGAACUCACAGGGAAGUCCAGCUGUUCUUAUUCAAAGCAAACUGGUCAAAGAUGUUAGAUCUGCAAAUCCUCUUCACUGAAGCACUUAGUGUGGGAUGGAAUCAUUAGAGAGGGUCUUUGCAUGUUCCAAGGUGGUCCAGUCUUCUACCCAGCCUACACUUCCUAUGAAACAGUCUCUGUUGUGGUUCACUCCAACCACAAGAGGGGAACAGGUGUGCCUCAAUAUGGACAAGUUGACAUGUCUCCAAACCAUCACAGUAGUCAUAAGGAAAGGUUCAGAUGCUCCAAAGGCAGAGCCCCUAUAACGUGUGGGAAUUCUGAGGAGAUCUGGACCCAACCAAAGAAAAAGCUUCAUAAUAGGCAUGAAUGAAUGGUAGAAGAGAGUCUAAGCAGAAGACAAGUCCCUGCUGCUUGCAGGAUGAACUGGAGAGAGACCUGUAAAGAUGCUUCCCUUUCUUGGGAUUCUAUGAUCCCACCAGUCAAGGGUGCUGGUGCUGAUGCUACAACCUACACCAGAGCCUCACUCACACAAUUAACUUUUGCUAUAGCCUGCUGUACAUCGAGAGCAGUCCUUGAAACUAAAUGAUGUUCGACUUGCUUCAAUUUUAAAAUCUAAUAAAUCUUUU